AGCUUUCUUGAGACGUGAACACAGCCACAUCUCCCGGUGGGCUUGUGUUACAGUCAGCGAGACUCGACGUACUGUGGGGCUUUUGUCUGCAAGUUUGCAGAGCUUCUCCUAACUGACAUAUGCAGAGCAUGUGGGAAUGCAUGCCAAAGUCCAGGGAGAAAUAAAGAUGACCAUGAUGACUGGAUCGUACAGCAUGCAGUCUCUGGUUCCAUUGGAUAAGGACUUCCAUUUUGCAGCAUGUACACUGUGACAGGGGUCUGCAACAGGUAGCUCUGGAGCUACCGGUAAACCUAGAUUUGAUUUGAAUUAAACUUUUGAGUGGACUGUACUUACUGUUUUAUGUUUGUAAAAAUGCAGUGCCUUUACUAGAGCAAAUUAGUAGCUGUAACUAUUCAGCAAAAAUAUGUGUUGUAUUGAAAUUUUCAAAGAGUAGUAUUUAAAUAAAAAUGCACCGAAAUAAUCAUGUUAAGUAACAAAUGAUUUUAAGUACCAUUAAAUAAAGUGUAUUUGUUCAAGUGAACUAAUGAUUUUAA